CGAGCGGGUGUCCGCACUGAGUUCGGCAUCGAUAUGGGGAUCCCGGGAAGCUCGGGGUCCCCAGGUUGCCUAAGGAGGGGUGAACCGGCCCAGGUCGGAAACGGAGCAGGUCAAAGCUCCCGUGCCGAUCAGUAGUGGGAUCGCGCCUGUGAAUGGCCCCUGCAGCGUAGCCUGGGCGAGACAGUGAGACCCGGUCUCUU
rnacentral:sRNA from 1 species